rnacentral:ncRNA from 1 species
UAAAGGUUUGGUCCCAGCCUUUCUAUUAAUUAUAGACAGACUUACACAUGCAAGUAUCUGCACUCCAGUGAGAAUGCCCUAUAAAUCACCUCAUGAUACAAAGGAGCAGGUAUCAAGCACACCAUUAGGUAGCUCACAACACCUUGCUCAACCACACCCCCACGGGAAACAGCAGUGAUAGAAAUUAAGCAAUAAACGAAAGUUUGACUAAGUUAUGCUUAUCCUGGGUUGGUAAAUUUCGUGCCAGCCACCGCGGUCAUACGAUUAACCCUAAUUAAUAGACUUACGGCGUAAAACGUGUUUAAGUACUCCAAACAAUAAAGCCAAACUCUAGCUACGCUGUAAAAAGCUAUAGCUACUGUAAGCCCUACUACGAAAGUAACUUUAAAUUAUCUGAACACACGAUAGCUAAGAUCCAAACUGGGAUUAGAUACCCCACUAUGCUUAGCCCUAAACUUAAAGAAUCUUACAUAACAAAGUUCUUCGCCAGAGUACUACUAGCAAAGCUUAAAACUCAAAGGACUUGGCGGUGCUUUAUAUCCUUCUAGAGGAGCCUGUUCUAUAAUCGAUAAACCCCGAUAAACCUCACCAAUCCUUGUUAAAUCAGCCUAUAUACCGCCAUCUUCAGCAAACCCUAAAAAGGACAUAGAGUAAGCUCAACUACAAUAUGCAAAAACGUUAGGUCAAGGUGUAGCCUAUGGAUUGGAAAGAAAUGGGCUACAUUUCCUACACAACAGGAUAUUACUAUCUACACGAAAGUCCCUGUGAAAUCAAGGACUAAAGGUGGAUUUAGCAGUAAACUAAGAAUAGAGUGCUUAGUUGAAUAAGGCCAUGAAGCACGCACACACCGCCCGUCACCCUCCUCAAGUACUAAUGGUACUAAUAACCCUAUUACAACUAACCAAGACUAUCAGAGGAGAUAAGUCGUAACAAGGUAAGCGUACUGGAAAGUGUGCUUGGAUAACU